GUGGGGAAUCUUAGACAAUGGGGGAAACCCUGAUCUAGCCAUGCCGCGUGAUCGAUGAAGGCCUUAGGGUUGUAAAGAUCUUUCAGCUGGGAAGAUAAUGACGGUACCAGCAGAAGAAGCCCCGGCUAACUCCGUGCCAGCAGCCGCGGUAAUACGGAGGGGGCUAGCGUUAUUCGGAAUUACUGGGCGUAAAGCGCACGUAGGCGGAUCAGAAAGUCAGAGGUGAAAUCCCAGGGCUCAACCUUGGAACGGCCUUUGAAACUCCUGGUCUUGAGUUCGAGAGAGGUGAGUGGAAUUCCGAGUGUAGAGGUGAAAUUCGUAGAUAUUCGGAGGAACACCAGUGGCGAAGGCGGCUCACUGGCUCGAUACUGACGCUGAGGUGCGAAAGCGUGGGGAGCAAACAGGAUUAGAAACCCUGGUAGUCC
rnacentral:rRNA from 1 species